GUUGAAGAGAAAUGUAGCUACAGGGUUGAACAGUUCACCUGAAAGAAGAUAUCAUAUCAACGAAGAAAUUAUCGAUCUUCACAUAAUUAGUGAGCAGCUGGACAUGGACAUCCGGAAUGCAACAAUAGUAAUCGAGAGGAUGUUGGAAAGAGAGACUGGUGCUGCAAGGGUC